rnacentral:rRNA from 1 species
CACGUAGGGCGCAAGCGUUAUCCGGAAUUAUUGGGCGUAAAGAGCUCGUAGGCGGUUUGUCGCGUCUGCCGUGAAAGUCCGGGGCUCAACUCCGGAUCUGCGGUGGGUACGGGCAGACUAGAGUGAUGUAGGGGAGACUGGAAUUCCUGGUGUAGCGGUGAAAUGCGCAGAUAUCAGGAGGAACACCGGUGGCGAAGGCGGGUCUCUGGGCAACAACUGACGCUGAGGAGCGAAAGCGUGGGGAGCGAACAGG